GACAGAGGGUGCAAACGUUGUUCGGAAUUACUGGGCGUAAAGCGCGUGUAGGCUGCUUCGCAAGUCGGGUGUGAAAGCCCUGGGCUCAACCUAGGAAGUGCACUCGAAACUGCGGAGCUUGAGUCUCGGAGAGGGUCGCGGAAUUCUCGGUGUAGAGGUGAAAUUCGUAGAUAUCGAGAGGAACACCGGUGGCGAAGGCGGCGACCUGGACGAUGACUGACGCUGAGACGCGAAAGCGUGGGGAGCAAACAGG
rnacentral:rRNA from 1 species